AGGCAAUAGAUACCCAGGUAGUCCACGCCCUAAACGAUGUCUACUAGUUGUUGGUGGAGUAAAAUCCAUGAGUAAACGCAGCUAACGCGUGAAGUAGACCGCCUGGGGAGUACGGUCGCAAGAUUAAAACUCAAAGGAAUUGACGGGGGCUCGCACAAGCGGUGGAUUAUGUGGAUUAAUUCGAUGCAACGCGAAAACCUUACCUGGCCUUGACAUGCCACUAACGAAGCAGAGAUGCAUUAGGUGCCCGUAAGGGAAAGUGGACACAGGUGCCGCAUGGCUGUCGUCAGCUCGUGUCGUGAGAUGUUGGGUUAAGUCCCGCAACGAGCGCAACCCUUGCCAUUAAUUGCCAUCGUUUAGUUGGGCACUUUAAUGGGACUGCCGGUGACAAACCGGAGGAAGGUGGGGAUGACGUCAAGUCCUCAUGGCCCUUAUGGCCAGGGCUUCACACGUAAUACAAUGGUCGGUACAGAGAGUUGCCAACCCGGCGAGGGGGUAGCUAAUCUCAGAAAGUCGAUCGUAGUCC
rnacentral:rRNA from 1 species